CCUAAGGAAAAAAUGAAAUGAGAAAAAAUGAAAAAUUUGAAAAAUGAAAUGGAAGUUCUUCUCUGAAGGUCUGAUUCUGGAAAGAGGGAACAAUUUCAUGCUGAGAGAUGACUGCACAUGUCCUAGAACAGGAGGUUUGGCCACAUCAAGCAGUGCCAUAGGUGACAGCAACCUGAGGGAAGGUGGGAUGUGGAUGUCCUGAUGACAACCUGAGCAGCAACACAGGAAGCAGAAGUAAAAACAUAAAACUAAUGCUCUCUAUGUAUAACAGGACAAGAAGAGCUCUAAAAGUUGCCACCUUUCUGAAGCUGGAGAAAUGCAGAAUGGGCACAUAACUUUGUGAAGCACAGAAGAAUCUGGAUUCAGCUGAUGCUGUUCCCAUUCCUGCUGUAGUGCUGCCACAUAAUGAACAGUUCAAAGGUGUCAAAAUUUGUAGUGUGAUUAAUCAGGAGCAGUACAUAUAACUUGUAAAAAAGAGGAAAAACAGGCAAAGCUGCUUCCUAUCAACUCUCAGAUGUAGUAGUUUUACAGCCCUAUUUUCUGUACAGUUUUAGUUCACAAGAACAACUUAAUAAUUUCUUCUGGAUUUGAUAUCAAAACCUGGAAAUCAUAUAAACAACCUCUCUGACUGUUUCAAAAGGAGCAGAUUUCCCAGCACUGGAGGGCUGGAUACACUUCAGACUGGGCACCCAUCAUUACAGACGCUGGUAUUUAAAAAAUCAGACACCAAGAAUUUUCAGUCUUGCUCAACACCCCACAGACUCCUUUGUUUGAAUUCUUAAUCCCAUCAUUAGGCACAAAAGUCUGAUAAAAUGACAUUCCAACUUUUGCCUGUUUUAAAUUAUCUUAAAUAAAUCAUAACUAGAGUUACUUUCUGAGAGUAACCUGACUUAGACCAGUCUGCAUGUAGCACCUAUUCCUCUGCAGGUACCACUUGCACAGGCAUAUUCUGUGCUACUCAAUUACCAAUUUGUCAAAUAUCUUUCCCU